rnacentral:rRNA from 1 species
GACGAACGCCGGCGGCGUGCCUAAUACAUGCAAGUCGAGCGGACGGAUGGGAGCUUGCUCCCAGACCGUCAGCGGCGGACGGGUGAGUAACACGUGGGCAACCUGCCUGUAAGACUGGGAUAACUCCGGGAAACCGGGGCUAAUACCGGAUAACUCUUUCCCUCACAUGAGGGAAAGCUGAAAGAUGGCAUCUCGCUAUCACUUACAGAUGGGCCCGCGGCGCAUUAGCUAGUUGGUGAGGUAACGGCUCACCAAGGCGACGAUGCGUAGCCGACCUGAGAGGGUGAUCGGCCACACUGGGACUGAGACACGGCCCAGACUCCUACGGGAGGCAGCAGUAGGGAAUCUUCCGCAAUGGACGAAAGUCUGACGGAGCAACGCCGCGUGAGUGAUGAAGGUUUUCGGAUCGUAAAACUCUGUUGUCAGGGAAGAACAAGUACCGGAGUAACUGCCGGUACCUUGACGGUACCUGACCAGAAAGCCACGGCUAACUACGU